rnacentral:rRNA from 1 species
CCUACGGGUGGCAGCAGUGGGGGAUAUUGCACAAUGGGGGAAACCCUGAUGCAGCGACGCCGCGUGGGUGAAGAAGCGCCUCGGCGCGUAAAGCCCUGUCAGCAGGGAAGAAAAUGACGGUACCUGAAGAAGAAGCCCCGGCUAACUACGUGCCAGCAGCCGCGGUAAUACGUAGGGGGCAAGCGUUAUCCGGAUUUACUGGGUGUAAAGGGGGCGCAUACGGUGAUGCAAGCCAGGAGUGAAAGCCCGGGGCCCAACCCCGGGACUGCUCUUGGAACUGCGUGGCUAGAGUGCAGGAGAGGCAGGCGGAAUUCCUGGUGUAGCGGUGAAAUGCGUAGAUAUCUGGAGGAACACCGGUGGCGAAGGCGGCCUGCUGGACUGCAACUGACGUUGAGGCCCGAAAGCGUGGGGAGCAAACAGGAUUAGAUACCCUUGUAGUC